UUCUAGCAAGCUGUGAAUACUACUUCAGAGAAGAAAGGUUUAUGAAAAUCUCUCUUGGCUGCUAAAGCGGCAUCCCACAUGGAGUUACCCUGCCAAGAAAUCUGAAGAUAGUUACAAACCCUGAUGCUGAACAUACAGUUAAAAAAGAGAUGAUCCCUGUCCUCCUUGACUCUUGCAUGACAUAGGACACAUAAGUUGGAAUUAGAAACAUUCCAGUGGCGUCUCUCUAGCAUGUCUUGGGUAUUUAGUCUAUCCAUGAUAAGCAUCCAGGCAAACAUUUUUAUUUUCAUUGUGCAGCAACUUUUCGAAACCCAUCUAAGAAUGGGGUUGGGUAUAAUGGGCUGAUGGACAUGCAAGUAGUACUUCUUAGCUGUGUAAGUUUUGGUGUCAGUACUCCAAAGCUAGAUAUCAUUGCUUGACUGUUCUCUAUGCAGAUUUUGAAGAAGGUUGGUAACUGUUUGCAGUUCCUGGAAAGCUCUGUCAGAAAGAGGCAGGUGAAAGAGGCUAGUCAUGGAGUUUGCCUCAAAAGCUUGGACCACCUCCUCAGCAGUACUGAAGGUUGCUAUGAUAAAUUGAUGAUGCAUGGCCCAUAUGUUGAUUGCAAGGUGGAGAAUGGGGCUGCUAUUCGAUAGUCUUAUGAAGUUUUUUAGAAUGUCAUUUCCAGUGUGGGUAAUUCAAACAUUGUGUUUUAGAAUGGUCGAGGCGUUGAUUGAAACGUCGAGAUUAGGGUACUAUUUUAGUAUCACUUAUUGUAACCUUUGGAUCAUGUUCUUUGUAAUGCAACAAAGUCAAAUUAAUAUAUGGGACCAUCAUGUUUGUUA